rnacentral:rRNA from 1 species
ACUCCUACGGGAGGCAGCAGUGAGGAAUAUUGGACAAUGGGCGCAAGCCUGAUCCAGCCAUGCCGCGUGCAGGAAGACUGCCCUAUGGGUUGUAAACUGCUUUUAUAUAGGAAGAAACAUUUCCACGUGUGGAAAUUUGACGGUACUAUAAGAAUAAGGACCGGCUAACUCCGUGCCAGCAGCCGCGGUAAUACGGAGGGUCCGAGCGUUAUCCGGAAUCAUUGGGUUUAAAGGGUCCGUAGGCGGGAAUCUCAGUCAGUGGUGAAAUCUUACAGCUCAACUGUAAAAUUGCCAUUGAUACUGGAUUUCUUGAAUUAGUGUGAAGUGAUUAGAAUGUGUAGUGUAGCGGUGAAAUGCAUAGAUAUUACACAGAAUACCAAUUGCGAAGGCAGAUCACUAACACUAUAUUGACGCUGAGGGACGAAAGCGUGGGGAGCGAACAGGAUUAGAUACCCCAGUAGUCC